rnacentral:ncRNA from 1 species
GUGUCGGGCGCAAUGCGUCCGGUGAAAAGGGAAGCGGGUGAGAAUCCCGCGCGAACUCGUCACUGUGAUCGGGGAAUGAACGGGCAAAAGGCCACUGGCAACGGGAAGGCUGCCCGCAUCGUGUUGAUCCGUGAGCCAGGAGACCUGCCCGGCU